rnacentral:tRNA from 1 species
GCUCCCAUCGUCUAGCGGUUAGGACAGUGCCCUCUCACGGCACAGGCAGGGGUUCGAUUCCCCUUGGGAGUA